rnacentral:rRNA from 1 species
CGACCAGACUCCUACGGGAGGCAGCAGUGGGGAAUAUUGCACAAUGGGGGAAACCCUGAUGCAGCAACGCCGCGUGGGUGAAGGAGCGUUUCGGCGCGUAAAGCCCUGUCAGCGGGGAAGAAGAAAGACGGUACCCGACCAAGAAGCCCCGGCUAACUACGUGCCAGCAGCCGCGGUAAUACGUAGGGGGCGAGCGUUAUCCGGAAUUACUGGGUGUAAAGGGAGCGCAGGCGGCACGCUAAGCCUGAUGUGAAAACCCGCGGCCCAACCGCGGGAGUGCAUUGGGAACUGGCGGGCUGGAGUGCCGGAGGGGCAGGCGGAAUUCCUAGUGUAGCGGUGAAAUGCGUAGAUAUUAGGAGGAACACCAGUGGCGAAGGCGGCCUGCUGGACGGAGACUGACGCUGAGGCUCGAAAGCGUGGGGAGCAAACAGGAUUAGAUACCCCCGUA